rnacentral:rRNA from 1 species
GUCCAAAACGACUCUCGGCAACGGAUAUCUCGGCUCUUGCAUCGAUGAAGAACGUAGCGAAAUGCGAUACUUGGUGUGAAUUGCAGAAUCCCGUGAACCAUCGAGUCUUUGAACGCAAGUUGCGCCCGAAGCCUAGGCUGAGGGCACGCCUGCCUGGGUGUCACCAA